AUUGUUUUUCCACUACCCACACAUUAAAGAAAUAAGGAAAUAAAGAAUGGAGGUAGAGACACGUAACUUCGUAUCAUAUUGAGGCUUUUUUUUUAUAAAAUUAAUCCAAAAAGUUUAAUUAAUUAAUUUUUUUUUUGUCUCUUGCAUCUCCUUACUACUUUAAAUAUUAAAAAAAAUUAAAAGUCCUAAAAGUAACACAACUUUUUUGUUUGGAUGGAGAGAGAAUUUAUGGUCAGCAAUUCUACUUCUUUCUUCAAUACCCAAAAGCUUUCCUGCUUUGCUUCCACUCAAACUUCCAUCAAACCUAGGUUUAAAACCUUCACAAUCAAAGCUAUCAAUUAAAAUACACUAGAAAUUGAAACCCCUUCGAUGUUACAAAGUAUGGUCUUGAAGCUGGGCUAUGGAACGUACUUAAUUCUCUUUCCUUAAUUAGUUUAUGAUUCUUCUUUAAGCCUUUACAUUGGUAGCAUGGCCUGGUUAAUGGUUGCUUUGGAAGUUUAUGGACUAAGGAAUUGAAAGGAAGCAUUUGGUAUUUUGCAAUGCAUGCGGUUCGUGAGUUUCUCUACUACUUUUGACCCUUUGGAAAUGAUGAGAAGCUAACUCUGCGCCUAUGAUUCCAUUUACUUUUUUGUUAAACAUCCCAAGAUAUUCAGGUUCAAGGAAGAAGAAAUAGAAGUCCAAGGAGCUGCUUGCCAAAUAUGGAGGAGCCUACCUGGCAACCUCUAUUACUCUUUCUUUGAUCUCCUCCCUUUGUUAUGCACUAAUUAGUGCAGGCAUUGAUGUUCAAGCUUUGCUUCAAAAGGUGGGAAUCUCAACCGAUGUGACCGGAGGGAAAGUGGGGACCUUUGCAUUGGCACAUGCUGCACACAAAGCUGCAUCUCCUAUGAGGUUUCCUCCAACUGUGGCUCUCACUCCCGUUGUUGCUAGUUAGAUAGGGAAGAAGGUUAAAAAAGACGAGCAAAAUCUGCGGCUACUUGUAUAUUCAAUGCCCUGUUUAAUAUCUAGUUUCCAAGUA